UUGUGAGUACUAACCAGCCAUCUCCAUGGAUUGAAGGCUAGGGGAUCAGGAUAGAGAUGUGGAUCAUAGUUAACUUCUCGCGUGUAGACGUAUAUCCUCCACCCUUUAGGAAUGGUGUAUCCUGAAAUUGAAAGAAUCAGCAUAGACAAAAUAAUUGGCUCGGGCAAGAGACGGGUCAUCAGUGGAUGUCUUAGGCUGGAAUGAUAGGUUUUCCAUGUGGAUCAUGAUAGGGGUUGAACUGCUGCUAGUAAUUUCAGAUUUUUCCUGCGUGCUGCUAAUUCAUUAAGAAAGCAACGGGGAAAAAGCUCUAAUUAUUGAAGAAAGAUUGUUUGAGUUGAUCCUUAAUCAUGGAAGGGCUGAUGAGAGAAAGCAAUGCUCCUCUCAUAUGCUUGUGGGCAGAGCCAUGGACAGCUGCAAUAUUGCAUUUCCCUAAGAUGUCCAACAUUGACUGGGGAUAACCAGGGACAAGGCCUUUAGCUUCAUUCACCAGGAUGUACCUGUUAAGCUCUGGAUCCAUUGAAACAAUGGUGGGACAUCCCAGUAUAUGCGAUUUGAAGAAGCUUCCAAACCUAUAGAAACACGGAAAUGAAAGAUUGGAUUGGAGAUUGGAAAAAUCAGAAACAAGAUUAAUCUCUUAUUUUUUGCAGAAAGAAUGAUAUAGGGGAAACCUUGAUCUCUGGCUUUUCAUGAAGCCUGGACCUUGCUUUAGAAACUCCGUAGUCUCCCCAAAAACUGGCCACCCCAUGGUGCCAGGAGGCAAUCCUUUCUUCCUGUACCUGACCUCAUUCCAUCUCAGUAAAGCAAUACUCAAGAUGCAUAGGCCCCAAAAGGCCCCCAGGAUCACAACUUCUUUUAUAAAGUGCUGGAGCCUGGAGGGAAAGUUUUGUUUAAUGAAUCACUCUACACCAUAUGCUGCGAUGAAGUUCCUCAAUAAUUCAUUCAUGAGCUUUUAACAGAGGGAGACUAUAAAUUAUAUAGAUCAGAGGAAGAACCCUUUUCCCUGCUGAGUAAUGGUAAUCCACUAAGCUUGAUUUAUGAUUGGAUUUAGUGAGAGAAUAUGAUAGAAGUUUGCAAUCUUGCUAAUCAAACCCAAAUUUAUUGAAAGUGACCCUAGAUUUGUUUUCUUUCAGUCACGCAUGCCCACUAAACCACAUUCACAUUCAAGUUCUAUCUCUUGGGCAGAGCUCAUUUUCUUUUUCAGUUAUUUGUAUGUUUCUUUCGAUAGAUUUGAUAAAAUUUUGGUUUGAGUUCGAUAUUAAAAUAAUGUAUGAUGAGAUGCUUUUUAUGAGAAUUCAAAUAAUAAAAACCUAAUAUUUGGAGGCAAAAGAAACAAAUUUUUUACUACAAGCAUGUUCUUUAUGCCUAACAAUGCUUCAUUUGAUUUGCUUUGACUAAAUUAAGCCCCUUAUCUUAGCAUAGAAAACAUAACCAUAGUUACAACAGGUGUUCCAUAGCAUAGUUGGGACUACAUUUUUUUUUUUUUAAUCUUUUGAUGUGCAUAAAAAUGACAAAGGUAGAAGUUAGGUAUUCGUUGAAUACAAAGGAUAAAACAAAAUAUGCUGUGCACAGUCUCUCUACGGAAAAUAAGAAGAAAAAAACAGAUGCAUGUUUAAAUGUGUGUGUGGAAAAUAUGGAUAUCGAUGGAUGGAUGUGUUGCAUUUGAUAUUGAGCAAAAAAAGGCAUGCAAAUGGGUGACGCCGUACACAAAAGCGUACAUGCUUGACUAGUCUCAUCAGUAGUUGAUACUGAUGCCUUGUCAUAAGGUGUCAUUAAAGGUGGGCCGGACAAUGACGUGAAGAGAAGUGUGGAUCCUUGAGAAGAUACUCAGAAAGGGAUUUGACGCAACUGACACAGUGUGCCUUUUGCACUUGAAAGAAAUUUUUUGGUAAUCAUCCAUCCCUCACUAGAGGUUUUUUUAAGGUACGUGUUAUUUUACAAUUUCAUUUCUGCCAUUCCAAUAGGAAAAUUUAAGUAUGAAUUGAGUUUCAUUCAUGAUUAAGUUGAGAUGAUUAGAACCCUUGAAGCUUUUUAUUUUUAGUUGUUUUCUGCACAGAUAACUUGUUAGUCUUACUGAUAUUAAGCUACAAUUUCUUGUUAGUUUUUAGAGAGAACAGAAAAAAAGGAUAUUGCCGACAAUAAUAGAAAUUGAGGAGGUAGGAAAUAAGACCUGUAAAUAUUAUAGUAUUUAAAUUUGGAAAAUAGAAUGGUGGGGCAUAAGAAAAUGGUGGUAGCAAAAAGAUGAACACGGAAACUACAGAAGGAAACAGACAAUUUAGGAUGGAAAAGGUUGCAUAUACAAACAAUAAUAAUAUAGAGAGAGAGAGAGAGAGAGGAAGAGAGAGAUGAAUGUUUAGUGAGAGGCACACAUGCAGAGCUUAACUGGAGAGACGUAUUUGCUUCAUUAAAUGUGUGAUAUGCAAUCAAAACUCCAGAGGUGCACGGGGGCCUCCAUUUUGUUUGUUUCUGCUUUUUGCUAAAGUUGGUACCCAUCCCUUCCUCUCCCUACCAUUAUUUUCCUCCUUCCAAAUUAUUGCAUACAUUUCUCCAAUUUCAUGCAUUAUAUUCUGAAUAAUGUCUCCCAUAAAACGAUAAAUAAGCCAUUCUGGAUAUAUACUAACCCCUUGCCGACUCCUUGUUUCUUUAUAUUGUUAAUUUUCUAGUGUCAUCAUAAUUUAUUCAAGAUCACGAGUCAGGGUGUUGAUAGUGUACACAUUAUAGUAACGAAUUAUAGCUUCUACAAAAUGCCUAUAUGAUCCAAUUUAUUGUUGAAUUAAUUUAUAUAGAUUUUCAAUUCUAGUUAUAAUUCCAACAGUUCAUACCCAUUAAUUAUUAAAGACUGCUUUGUUUGUUUUGUUGUAAUACAACAACAACAAUAAUAAUUAUAAUAAUGUUCAGAGAAGACAUUGAUCUGUAACAGUAAAACCUUCAUUGUUGGUCUUUUGCUGUGAUGGUUGACGUAUAUCUAAAUGCAUAUAUAGAUAUAAACAAUCGGUACGAUUGAAUUCUUUUGGUACAGGAAAUUAAUGUUUGUUCUAUAGGGUGGGUCAAGAAAAUUAAUGUCAUAGGUCCUAUUGUUUAGUUGAAAUUUCCAUUAGAAGCAUCCUACUUGAUUGGUUAUGGUAUCAAUUUUUGUCCAUCCAUAUCAGAUGAUUGCCAAUGGAUAUAUACAUAUAUGCAAUCUAUCACCUCAUCUUCUUACACAUAUAUUAAUCCCUGAACUAUUAUCUGGUCAUUCUAUCUAGCUGGUAAAUUAACAAGUCACGCUUUGGUACAGAGGGUAAAGAUAUUGACUCUUGGGUCAUAUCUCGUGAGUCUGUGUGUCUGCCAUAUAUUCCUAUUAUAUCUAUUUAUCAUUGUGUAAGAAGGCAUAUUCUGACUAUGUUUAUUUACAAACAUAGGGUACAGAAAAACAGUGUGAGGUUACAGCCACAGGGAUUGUUUUUGUUUUUAUUUCUAUUUAUUGUAUAUAAUUGAAAUAGAAGUAUUACUGUUGUAUUACCCUGAAAUUGGAAUUGGAAUUGGAAUUGGAAUUGAAGAAGAUAUGUGUGAGUGAGUUAUUGCGUACGUGUGGCAUUGAGAGGGACAGAGGUUGAAACAUGGGCCUCUGAUGAUUGACUGCACGUGUGGGAGAUGCAUCCACGUGCACUCGUUUUUAUUCACUUCACUGGGAAUUGAAUUGAAUUGAUUGG